GGAUGACCGCUGGCGGCGUGCCUAAUACAUGCAAGUCGAGCGAACAGACGAGGAGCUUGCUCCUCUGACGUUAGCGGCGGACGGGUGAGUAACACGUGGAUAACCUACCUAUAAGACUGGGAUAACUUCGGGAAACCGGAGCUAAUACCGGAUAAUAUAUUGAACCGCAUGGUUCAAUAGUGAAAGACGGUUUUGCUGUCACUUAUAGAUGGAUCCGCGCCGCAUUAGCUAGUUGGUAAGGUAACGGCUUACCAAGGCGACGAUGCGUAGCCGACCUGAGAGGGUGAUCGGCCACACUGGAACUGAGACACGGUCCAGACUCCUACGGGAGGCAGCAGUAGGGAAUCUUCCGCAAUGGGCGAAAGCCUGACGGAGCAACGCCGCGUGAGUGAUGAAGGUCUUCGGAUCGUAAAACUCUGUUAUUAGGGAAGAACAAAUGUGUAAGUAACUAUGCACGUCUUGACGGUACCUAAUCAGAAAGCCACGGCUAACUACGUG
rnacentral:rRNA from 1 species